AUAAAAUUAGAAAUAUGAUGCUUAAUACAAGUCCUGACUCCUUUUAUAAGAGUAAUAGGAACAUCAAGAUCAUCAAUAGUAGAAUUCGACUCAAAAAUAGAAUUAGGAUCAUCAAGAAAUAAAGGAGACUCACCACAUUCUUCAGGAAUUGAUUCCAAGGAUGCUAGUUGAUCUGGUGUAUUAAGCUCAAUGGUUGUAUCUGUCUUAUUCCAACACAUGUAGGUUCUCAAAUUCCGACACGUGUAGGUUCUCAAAUUAAGGUGUAGAUAGAUUCAUAAUAAACAUAAAAAAUCGAGUAACCUCUAAUAAAUGUCUUUUUUUUUUUUCUUUCAGACAUCCAAUUUUGUUCACUAGCCUUGACACAACUAGUUUGAUACAUUAUACAUUUAAAUCCAAAGAAGCACAAAAAACACCAUUAACAUAUUUUGUGCCAUUACUGUGUGCAAAUCAUUUUGUAGACUGUUGGAAGUAAGAAAACACUUCACUUUUUGCUCUCAUCAAAUAAACCCAUGUCAGCCUAGUGCAACAAUCAAUAAAAGUGACA
rnacentral:misc_RNA from 1 species